UUUUUUCCAUAAUCACUUUUUUAUUAAUAGGUGAAUGUCGAUAAUUUUUUAUGUUUACCGGUUUAUUAUCAAAAGUGACAAUUGUAUGGGUAACAACAUUAGUUGAUCUUAAUUUGUAAUUAGGAGGAUGAAAUUGUUGAGAAUAACCAAAAAGUAUUGGGAAGAGACUUUGUUUCUCUUCAUCAUUUAAAUCAGAGAUAUUUACAAUUUUCAAAAUUUCAGCAUAUCUAGAAGCCUCUUUUCUUUCAUCAGCAGAAAGUUUACGAUCCUCAUAAUCAAUUUCAAAAUAUUCCUCAAGCUCAACUGGUGGUAUUGUUAAAUUUAUUUGCUGAUUAUGGGAAUUUACAAAAAAGAUUGGAGCAGUUCCGUUUUCAUUAAAAAUCAAAGACUCAACAGCGAAAAUUCCAGGAUCACACUGAAUUCUACGUAAACUGAUUGUCUUAUGGGAGGAAAGAAAUACCAAGGAUACCUUCUUGUGGAAUGGGAAAUGAUUCUGACACAACAUGGAAAAAAGCUUCGAGACCCUUUAUGAUCAACCUGAUCUCACCGAUAGC